GGGCCCAUAGCUCAGGGGCAGAGCGCUCGUAUCACACACGAGAAGUCGAUGGUUCGAAUCCAUCUGGGCCCA
rnacentral:tRNA from 12 species